GCAGUGGCAGCAGGCAGUGGCCGGUUGGUGCCGCGGUCUGGUGUUCUCUCAGCAGACUGCAGCCUCAGCCUCUGCCACCCCCAGCGGUGUUGGGGCAUCUGCGUGUGCAGAGCCAGAAGGUCCCUGAGGAUCUUCACCGAGGGCUUGUGGUGGUGACGACUUGAGAGUGCCUCAGGCAGAGCAGAGCAGAGCUGUGCUGUGCAGCACUCUCUUAGUCCCAGCCAUGGACCCCAUCUAUAUCCUCUUGCCAAUUCUCUUGGUCUCCCUCACGAUGAAUGUCUUGGACUGGUGGGGAAGGAAGCUGAGGCGUAAGAGGAAGGAGGAGAAAGCUGCAGCCAAAGCUCAGCGAAAGGCUGAGCAAGAAUUAAGGCAGCGAAAGGCCUCAGUGAGAGCUUCUGAGCAGGUGGCUGAACAAGAGCAGGAACCAAGGCCGACCCCAGAGCAACUGAGAAGCGUGGGGCAGAAGCUGCGGAGGCGACUGGCUCGGAUCUGUCUCUGGCUCUGCCUCCACUGCUGCUGCCCCUGUUUGCAGAUGUGGGCCCUGAAGAAGCAGGGGACAGCCCGCGGUGGGGGGAUGGGGACUUGUGGGCUGCAGAAAUGGGCUUCAGCUUUUCAACACAGGCAAAGCCCUGUCCCUGCAGAGGCUUUGCGCUGCAAGUCAGGGAGCAGGAGGCUGCCCUGCUGCCUCCCACCACCUGCUCAGCUGCUCAGUGCCGGAAAGUGGAAGUGUCCAUUGGAGAGAUUUCAACCGAAAGGAAGGAGGGCUCCGUAAUCGUCUCACCCAGUUCCCCUUCCCCUCCUGGAACAGCAGCGGUGGAAACAGGAAAGUGCGGUAGGGCGCUGCGGGCUCCCCUUCCCCCCCUGCUCCAAAGUCCCCUUUCCCCCCUGCUCCAAAGUCCCCUUUCCCCCCUGCUCCAAAGUCCCCUUUCCCCCCUGCUCCAAAGUCCCCUUUCCCCCCUGCUCCAAAGUCCCCUUUCCCCCCUGCUCCAAAGUCCCCUUCCCCCUUGCUCUGGUCCCCUUGCCCUCCCCUGGCUCUGGGUUCCCUUCCCCCCUGCCACAAUGUCCCCUUCCCCCCCUGCUCCGGGCUCCCCUUCCCCCCCUGCUCCGGGCUCCUCUUUCCCCCUCCCCUCCAAAGUCCCCUUCCCUCUGCUCCAAACUCCUUUCUCACUGCGUCUGCUGAGUGCUGAAUGGGGAGAGACAAGGCAAGGAGUUGCCUUUCCCUCCCCUGCAGGCUCGGUCAGGGACAGGCAAAAGCCUUUUCCUGCCGCUCCCGCAGGGCACUCACCUUUAGUUCCCUUAGGUCCGUGCGGUUCCUUUAGGUUCUUUAGGUGGAGUAGAAGCAAGAAGGCUCCCAGAGGACAGUCGUCGGAGGGGGACUGGGGGGGGGUGGGGGGAGGUGUGGGCGGGGAUCUGGGGGGGUGGUAAAGUGGGACUAGAUUGUAUCAGUGAGGAAAUAAAGGGCACUGAGAAAGCCCAAGUGCUGUGAGUGCA